rnacentral:rRNA from 1 species
AUACGGAGGGUGCAAGCGUUAUCCGGAAUCAUUGGGUUUAAAGUGUCCGCAGGCGGACUGAUAAGUCAGUGGUGAAAUCCCGUAGCUUAACUACGGAACUGCCAUUGAAACUGUCAGUCUUGAAUUCGGUCGAAGUGGGCGGAAUGUGUCAUGUAGCGGUAAAAUGCAUAGAUAUGACACAGAACACCGAUAGCGAAGGCAGCUCACUAGGCCUGAAUUGACGCUCAGGGACGAAAGCGUGGGGAGCGAACAGGAUUAGAUACCCUAGUAGUCC